GCCCCGGUAGCUCAAUUGGAGAGAGUGGUGGGCUUCGAACCCAAAGGUUGCAGGUUCAAAUCCUGCUCGGGGCACCA
rnacentral:tRNA from 1 species